AACGAACGCUGACGGCGUGCUUAAUACAUGCAAGUCGAACGAGAAAGCUCUUUCGGGAGUGAGUAGAGUGGCGCACGGGUGAGUAACACGUAGGUGACCUGCCCUUUAGUGGGGGAUAACCCAGAGAAAUUUGGGCUAAUACCGCAUGAGUUUGACGAAUUUGAAUAUAGUCAAAGAAAGAAUGCCUCUACAUGUAUGCAUUUGCUAAAGGAUGGGCUUGCGUAGCAUUAGCUUGUUGGUGGGGUAAUGGCCUACCAAGGCGAUGAUGCUUAGCUGGUCUGAGAGGAUGAUCAGCCACACUGGAACUGAGACACGGUCCAG
rnacentral:rRNA from 1 species